rnacentral:rRNA from 1 species
UACGGAGGGAGCUAGCGUUGUUCGGAAUCACUGGGCGUAAAGCGCACGUAGGCGGGUCGCUAAGUCGGGGGUGAAAUCCUGGAGCUCAACUCCAGAACUGCCUUCGAUACUGGCGAUCUUGGAGUCCGGGAGAGGUGAGUGGAACUCCGAGUGAGAGGUGAAAUUCGUAGAUAUUCGGAAGAACACAGUGGCGAAGGCGCUCACUGGCCCGGUACUGACGCUGAGGUGCGAAAGCGUGGG